rfam:Gramella flava JLT2011, complete genome.
AUUAAUAACCGGGGUCGAGAACCCCAAAAUUUAAU